rnacentral:rRNA from 1 species
GAGUUUGAUCUUGGCUCAGAUUGAACGCUGGCGGCAUGCCUUACACAUGCAAGUCGAACGGCAGCACGGGAGCUUGCUCCUGGUGGCGAGUGGCGAACGGGUGAGUAAUGCAUCGGAACGUAUCCUGGAGUGGGGGGUAACGUAGCGAAAGUUACGCUAAUACCGCAUAUUCUGUGAGCAGGAAAGCGGGGGACCUUCGGGCCUCGCGCUCUUGGAGCGGCCGAUGUCGGAUUAGCUAGUUGGUGAGGUAAAGGCUCACCAAGGCGACGAUCCGUAGCAGGUCUGAGAGGAUGAUCUGCCACACUGGAACUGAGACACGGUCCAGACUCCUACGGGAGGCAGCAGUGGGAAUUUUGGACAAUGGGGGCAACCCUGAUCCAGCCAUGCCGCGUGAGUGAAGAAGGCUUC